rnacentral:rRNA from 1 species
GUGAACGCUGGCGGUAGGCCUAACACAUGCAAGUCGAACGGCAGCACAGUAAGAGCUUGCUCUUACGGGUGGCGAGUGGCGGACGGGGGAGGAAUACAUCGGAAUCUACUUUUUCGUGGGGGAUAACGUAGGGAAACUUACGCUAAUACCGCAUACGACCUACGGGUGAAAGCAGGGGAUCUUCGGACCUUGCGCGAUUGAAUGAGCCGAUGUCGGAUUAGCUAGUUGGCGGGGUAAAGGCCCACCAAGGCGACGAUCCGUAGCUGGUCUGAGAGGAUGAUCAGCCACACUGGAACUGAGACACGGUCCAGACUCCUACGGGAGGCAGCAGUGGGGAAUAUUGGACAAUGGGCGCAAGCCUGAUCCAGCCAUACCGCGUGGGUGAAGAAGGCCUUCGGGUUGUAAAGCCCUUUUGUUGGGAAAGAAAAGCAGCAGGUUAAUACCCCGCUGUUCUGACGGUACCCAAAGAAUAAGCACCGGCUAACUUCGUG